rnacentral:rRNA from 1 species
AUUGAACGCUGGCGGCAUGCCUUACACAUGCAAGUCGAACGGCAGCACGGGGCAACCUGGUGGCGAGUGGCGAACGGGUGAGUAUGCAUCGGAACGUACCUUUCAGUGGGGGAUAACGUAGCGAAAGUUACGCUAAUACCGCAUAUUCUGUGAGCAGGAAAGCAGGGGAUCGCAAGACCUUGCGCUGAUUGAGCGGCCGAUGUCAGAGUAGCUAGUUGGUGAGGUAAAGGCUCACCAAGGCGACGAUCUGUAGCGGGUCUGAGAGGAUGAUCCGCCACACUGGAACUGAGACACGGUCCAGACUCCUACGGGAGGCAGCAGUGGGGAAUUUUGGACAAUGGGGGCAACCCUGAUCCAGCCAUGCCGCGUGAGUGAAGAAGGCCUUCGGGUUGUAAAGCUCUUUCGGCCGGGAAGAAAUCGCACGGGCUAAUACCCUGUGUGGAUGACGGUACCGGAAUAAGAAGCACCGGCUAACUACGUGCCAGCAGCCGCAGUAAUAC